UCUGGCUCAGGAUGAACGCUAGCUACAGGCUUAACACAUGCAAGUCGAGGGGCAGCGAGAAGAAAGCUUGCUUCUUGUCGGCGACCGGCGCACGGGUGAGUAACGCGUAUCCAACCUCCCCUUAGUAGGGCAUAGCCCGUAGAAAUGCGGAUUAAUACCCUAUGUUGUUCGAUGCGGACAUCUAAGUUGAACCAAAGGUUUACCGCUAAGGGAUGGGGAUGCGUCUGAUUAGGCAGCAGGCGGGGUAACGGCCCACCUGGCCGACGAUCAGUAGGGGUUCUGAGAGGAAGGUCCCCCACAUUGGAACUGAGACACGGUCCAAACUCCUACGGGAGGCAGCAGUGAGGAAUAUUGGUCAAUGGGCGCGAGCCUGAACCAGCCAAGUAGCGUGCAAGGAUGACGGCUCUAUGGGUUGUAAACUGCUUUUAUGCGGGGAUAAAGUGCGGCACGUGUGCCGUUUUGUAGGUACCGCAUGAAUAAGGACCGGCUAAUUCCGUGCCAGCCGCCGC
rnacentral:rRNA from 1 species